AUCCUUUUGUAAUUCUUAAGUGCGAUGAUUAGGUUCACGCUCUUGUUGAGAUGUGCCUCCCUCAAACCUUGUUAUGACAUCAGCACAUUACGUGUCUGACA
ensembl:snoRNA